GCGAGAGUGGCGGAACUGGCAGACGCGCUGGACUUAGGAUCCAGUUGGGCAACCAGUAGGGGUUCGACUCCCCUCUUUCGCA
rnacentral:tRNA from 1 species